GUGAUAUAUAAUAUGGCGAAACACAAUAUCCAUAUCAAAUUUGCCAUUGCAUGUAAAAUAUUCUUUUUUCAACAAAUUUUAUCUAGAUAAUAUUUGCUCAACACCAUAAGUCUAUGACAUCUGGGCUGAAUCAAGGAGAGUUGGCUUCAAAGUUAAAUUUCAAUUAUUUUAUUUUUGAUAAGAUCACAUAUACCAAGAUGCCAUAUCAAUAUCAGAUGAUGUUUAGAUAUUAGUAAUAAAUAUUUGCUCAACACCAAAAGCCUAUGACAUCUGGACUGAAUCAAGGAGAGUUGGCUUCAAAAAAUACCAAGUUAUCAAUUCUAAUUCUGAUUUGCCAGACAGGACAACACUAAGCCCGACUGCUAUUAAUAAUGUUUACCUAUCAAUGAAAGCACAUGUACAAUAAGAAAUUAACUCAAAGGCCAAAAUUUUGAUCAAUUACAUUCUAUAUGUGGACAGAUCAAUACAGAAGAAGAAACUAUACAACUCAUUAUAUAACCCCAAAACACACAGGUGAGACUAUUCCAAUUGAGAUUGAUAAAAUAGAAGAGGAAUUUAAUUUAAAAAAGAAAAAAUACAAAUGGUCACUGAUGCUGGGUCUAAUGUUAGAAAGGGUGUUUGAUUAGGUGAAUAUGAACACCGCUUAUGUUUGGGUCAUGGUUUACACAAUCUGGUUACAGUAGAUGGUAUUAAAAAGGUACUCUUAUUUGAAAAUCUUAUCAAAAGAAUUAUAGGAAUUAUUACUGUUCUAAUAUAUAAAACUACAAUAGUUGAAUUUGAAUUCGAAGCAGAUCAAAGAAAAUGCCUAAGUAUAAUAGAUUUAACAUCUGACAUGUUAGAUCAUGAUAGCACUGAUCCAUAUCCAGAUACCCGAUUUCAAAUUGACACUUCCAUUGAUAAUGAUAACAAUAUUUCCACGCAAAACCUUAAAAUUGAACGUCCCAACACGUUGGCAUAGUAUAUUAAUUAUGCUAGAAACCAUAUGUGGAUUAAAUAAGAAUAUAAUUAAUAAUGUUUUGAAAAGAAUUGGGAAACACUUUCUCAAAUUAUCAAACUAUUAAUCUGAUCUGAUAGAAGAACUAUUAGCAUUUCUUUUAAAAAUUAAAGAAUCUGUCGAAUUUCUAUCAGUACAAGGGCCUACGUUAAACUUGGCGUUACUUUUUAGAGGUGAAAUUGAAACACAUUUAAUAGUAAAUGACAGUGAUAAUUCUGAAAUCAUUUCACUUAAGGAAAAUAUGCUAAAAAAACUUGCCCUACGAUUUCCGGUUUGUGAUUUUCAAGUAUUGGCUUCUCCUCCUUUAGAUCUAAGAUUUCAAAAAUUGACAAUUGUGUCAUAGUAUAUUGUUGCAUUAUUCUAAUUUUAAAUUUUAUUAUUUAUUACAAUAUAAAUUUUAUUAUUUGUUAUAAUCUAAUUUUAU